rnacentral:rRNA from 1 species
AUUGAACGCUGGCGGCAGGCCUAACACAUGCAAGUCGAACGAGUGGCGGACGGGUGAGUAAUGUCUGGGAAACUGCCCGAUGGAGGGGGAUAACUACUGGAAACGGUAGCUAAUACCGCAUACCAUCAGAUGUGCCCAGAUGGGAUUAGCUAGUAGGUGGGGUAACGGCUCACCAAGGCGACGAUCCCUAGCUGGUCUGAGAGGAUGACCGGCCACACUGGAACUGAGACACGGCCCAGACUCCGACGGGAGGCAGCAGUGGGGAAUAUUGCACAAUGGGCGAAAGCCUGAUGCAGCCAUGCCGCGUGUAUGAAGAAGGUCUUCGGGUUGUAAAGUACUUUCAGCGGGGAGGCGUUACCCGCAGAAGAAGCACCGGCUAACUCCGUGCCAGCAGCCGCGGUAAUUC